rnacentral:rRNA from 1 species
GAUGAACGCUGGCGGCGUGCCUAAUACAUGCAAGUCGAGCGAAUGGAUUAAGAGCUUGCUCUUAUGAAGUUAGCGGCGGACGGGUGAGUAACACGUGAGUAACCUGCCCAUAAGACUGGGAUAACUCCGGGAAACCGGGGCUAAUACCGGAUAACAUUUUGAACCGCAUGGUUCGAAAUUGAAAGGCGGCUUCGGCUGUCACUUAUGGAUGGACCCGCGUCGCAUUAGCUAGUUGGUGAGGUAACGGCUCACCAAGGCAACGAUGCGUAGCCGACCUGAGAGGGUGGUCGGCCACACUGGGACUGAGACACGGCCCAGACUCCUACGGGAGGCAGCAGUAGGGAAUUUUCCGCAAUGGACGAAAGUCUGACGGAGCAACGCCGCGUGAGUGAUGAAGGCUUUCGGGUCGUAAAACUCUGUUGUUAGGGAAGAACAAGUGCUAGUUGAAUAAGCUGGCACCUUGACGGUACCUAACCAGAAAGCCACGGCUAACUACGUGCCAGCCGCCGCGGUAA